CAAGGCUACUAUUCCUUUGCUACCAGGAAGUGAAUACCCAACAUCCAGAAUGUGAAACAGAAGAAAGCUGUAGGAUGAGGAACAGCAAAGAAGAGGAUGUGAAGUAGAAUCACAAAAGGCUGAGAAAGAGAAGGAGACUUGUGUACACCUUGAUAUGGAAUGGAAGAAUAUCAUUUUCUCUUUUUCUUGGCCUCCAGGAAAGAAAACCCAGUUCAAUCUGUGUAACCCAAAGGAUGAGAGUUAAAUCCAAUCAUGACAAGAAGGAUGAAGAGAAUACAGUUGAAAUGCUUUACUCUAAAGUCAUCACCACCCAUUUAGUAAUGCAUAAUUCCACGCCUUUCUUCUUUUGACUACUGUUGCUGCAACAC
ensembl:lncRNA